UACGGAGGGUGCAAGCGUUAUCCGGAUUCACUGGGUUUAAAGGGUGCGUAGGUGGGUCUGUAAGUCCGUGGUGAAAUCUCUAGGCUUAACCUGGAAACUGCCAUGGAUACUAUAGGUCUUGAAUACUGUGGAGGUCAGCGGAAUAUGUCAUGUAGCGGUGAAAUGCUUAGAUAUGACAUAGAACACCAAUUGCGAAGGCAGCUGGCUACACAAAUAUUGACACUGAGGCACGAAAGCAUGGGGAUCAAACAGG
rnacentral:rRNA from 1 species